rnacentral:rRNA from 2 species
GCGAACGGGUGAGUAACACGUGGGCAAUCUGCCCUUCACUCUGGGACAAGCCCUGGAAACGGGGUCUAAUACCGGAUAUCACUCCUGCAGGCAUCUGCGGGGGUCGAAAGCUCCGGCGGUGAAGGAUGAGCCCGCGGCCUAUCAGCUUGUUGGUGAGGUAAUGGCUCACCAAGGCGACGACGGGUAGCCGGCCUGAGAGGGCGACCGGCCACACUGGGACUGAGACACGGCCCAGACUCCUACGGGAGGCAGCAGUGGGGAAUAUUGCACAAUGGGCGAAAGCCUGAUGCAGCGACGCCGCGUGAGGGAUGACGGCCUUCGGGUUGUAAACCUCUUUCAGCAGGGAAGAAGCGAAAGUGACGGUACCUGCAGAAGAAGCGCCGGCUAACUACGUGCCAGCAGCCGCGGUAAUACGUAGGGCGCAAGCGUUGUCCGGAAUUAUUGGGCGUAAAGAGCUCGUAGGCGGCUUGUCACGUCGGGUGUGAAAGCCCGGGGCUUAACCCCGGGUCUGCAUUCGAUACGGGCAGGCUAGAGUGUGGUAGGGGAGAUCGGAAUUCCUGGUGUAGCGGUGAAAUGCGCAGAUAUCAGGAGGAACACCGGUGGCGAAGGCGGAUCUCUGGGCCAUUACUGACGCUGAGGAGCGAAAGCGUGGGGAGCGAACAGGAUUAGAUACCCUGGUAGUCCA